GAUGAACGCUGGCGGCGUGCCUAAUACAUGCAAGUCGAGCGAACGGACGAGAAGCUUGCUUCUCUGAUGUUAGCGGCGGACGGGUGAGUAACACGUGGAUAACCUACCUAUAAGACUGGGAUAACUUCGGGAAACCGGAGCUAAUACCGGAUGAUAUUUUGAACCGCAUGGUUCAAAAGUGAAAGCCGGUCUUGCUGUCACUUCUAGAUGUAUCCGCGCUGCAUUAGCUAGUUGGUAAGGUAACGGCUUACCAAGGCAACGAUGCAUAGCCGACCUGAGAGGGUGAUCGGCCACACUAGAACUGAGACACGGUCCAGACUCCUACGAGAGGCAGCAGUAGGGAAUGUGCCGCAAUGGGCGAAAGCAUGACGGAGCAAGGCCGCGUGAGUGAUGAAGGUCUUCGGAUCGUAAAACUCUGUUAUUAGGGAAGAACAUAUGUGUAAGUAACUGUGCACAUCUUGACGGUACAUAAUCAGAAAGCCACGGCUAACUACGUG
rnacentral:rRNA from 1 species